GCUUUUUCUUUUUCUUCAUUCCUGAAAAUUUAAAGCUAUCAGUUUCACCUUUUAUGCUUUGGCUACUUGCUUUUGGAAAAAGUUGGUGUCGCACACAAUUUCUCGAAAGCUUUAAUUCAAGCUGUACUACAACACUACAGCCUACAGGUAUGUGUGUUUGUUUUUUUGUUUCCCUCUUUAAAACCCAUUGGGCCGCAUUUCUAAAACGGAAGUGUAAUAAGGCCUAAUUAUUAGCAGGUUAU